GCCUUGGCGCACAGCUGCCCGUACUAAACGCAGCGCCGAGAGUUGCUAAGCUUCUCGGCUUUCCCUCCCGCGAAGGGGUGAAUGGCAACCCUCGUUGGGCCUCUGUGUGAUGGGGAGGCUGUGGGCAGGAGGAAGGAGCACCGUGAAGGAAGCUUGGGGACUGGGAGCUCUGCCCUAUGGCGUCGCCCAGAGCCACAUCUGACCCCAGGAAAACUCCAGUAAUGGCUCUGGGCCAUGCUCUCCUCAUUUCCGCUUCUGACUCUUGACCAUCCCUGGUGCUUUCCUGUGUGACCCCCAUGGGCCUUGCCUCCUGUUUCUAGGGAAUCUUUUUUCUCCAGUGAGGCAAUAUGCAUGGGCCCUCUGAAAACAACACU